UAUUAAAAACUUCAUCAAUUUGUUCUGUUAAAAACUAGCGUAACUAACGAAAUAACCAAGCAGUGAUACAUGACAUGCCACGUAUACCUCAUGUUGUAUAAAGACAGUUUUUAACCAUACAAAUUGAUAGAAUUUUUAACA
rfam:Gossypium raimondii Chr07_contig_1441, whole genome shotgun sequence.